rnacentral:rRNA from 1 species
GACAUGAAAAGACUAGUGUUAUUCAUCUUUAAUAGGUUUAAAGGGUACUUAGACGGUAAUUUCCAAGCCAAAAAAGGUACGGUAUUUACUUAGAUGUUUAUGUAGAGUAGUAGUUAUUUUAGGUGUAGAGAAUUUUAAAUUUUUAAUACCUUAAGGACUGAUAACAGCGAAAAGCAACCUUCUAUGUAAUAACUGAGCGAUGGAGGGACGAAGG